rnacentral:rRNA from 1 species
GACGAACGCUGGCGGCGUGCUUAACACAUGCAAGUCGAACGGAAAGGCCCUGCUUUUGUGGGGUGCUCGAGUGGCGAACGGGUGAGUAACACGUGAGUAACCUGCCCUUGACUUUGGGAUAACUUCAGGAAACUGGGGCUAAUACCGGAUAGGAGCUCCUGCUGCAUGGUGGGGGUUGGAAAGUUUCGGCGGUUGGGGAUGGACUCGCGGCUUAUCAGCUUGUUGGUGGGGUAGUGGCUUACCAAGGCUUUGACGGGUAGCCGGCCUGAGAGGGUGACCGGCAAAAUGGGGAAUGAAAGACGGCCAAGACUCCGACGGGGGGAAGAAGGGGGGAAUAUGGAAAAAGGGGCGGAGGCUGAAAGCAGAAACGCCGGGGGGGGGAUGAGGGCCUUCGGGUUUUAACCCGCUUUCGCCGGUAAAGAAGGGGGAGGGAGGGAAAGGGGUAAAGAAAAACCGGAAAAAUACGUC